rnacentral:ncRNA from 1 species
ACCCCUGUGAGAAUGCCCUACAGUUCCCUGCUCGGGAACAAGGAGCUGGUAUCAGGCACAACCCGCCCGUAAGCCCAUGACACCUUGCUUAGCCACACCCUCAAGGGAACUCAGCAGUGAUAGACAUUAAGCCAUAAGUGAAAACUUGACUUAGUUAAAGCUAAGAGGGCCGGUAAAACUCGUGCCAGCCACCGCGGUUAUACGAGAGACCCAAGUUGAUAGACACCGGCGUAAAGAGUGGUUAAGAUUUAUUCAACACUAAAGCCGAACGCCCUCAGAGCUGUUAUACGCACCCGAGGGUAAGAAGCCCAACCACGAAAGUGGCUUUAAACUAUCCGAAUCCACGAAAGCUAUGACACAAACUGGGAUUAGAUACCCCACUAUGCCUAGCCAUAAACAUCGAUAGUAAACUACACCUACUAUCCGCCCGGGGACUACGAGCAUCAGCUUGAAACCCAAAGGACUUGGCGGUGCUUUAGAUCCACCUAGAGGAGCCUGUUCUAGAACCGAUUACCCCCGUUCAACCUCACCUUUCCUUGUUUUAUCCCGCCUAUAUACCACCGUCGUCAGCUUACCCUGUGAAGGACUCAUAGUAAGCAAGAUUGGCACAGCCCAAAACGUCAGGUCGAGGUGUAGCGUAUGGAAAGGGAAGAAAUGGGCUACAUUCCCUAAUACAGUGAAAUACGAACGAUACACUGAAAUACGUAUCCGAAGGAGGAUUUAGCAGUAAGCAGAAAAUAGAGCGUUCCGCUGAAACCGGCCCUGAAGCGCGCACACACCGCCCGUCACUCUCCCCGAGCUUACCGACUCUGUAAUACUUAAGACCUCAAAACUGCAAAGGGGAGGCAAGUCGUAACAUGGUAAGUGUACCGGAAGGUGCACUUGGAAAAAU